rnacentral:rRNA from 1 species
AUGGAUCUAAGUGACAACCAGAUUCAGAUCCUCGACAGGUUGAUCAAGCACCAUUUCCUAUGGCUUAUUUCUCGUAUCAUAUUUUCAUGGGCUUUCAAGUUGUGCCCCUACCCCAGUGAGACCCAGCACGCUGAUCUCGGCCGCGAACUUGGCGUGCAGCCGCAUCAGAUUGAAUUCUGGUUCAAGAACCGCCGUGCCCAGAUGAGCAGGUGUUUGGGGUUGACGGCAUGGCAGGCUAGGGACGAGCAGGUUGACAACCACUUAUCCGACUCGGAGAACGACAAGAUCGACUCGGAAAACGACAAGAUCCACUAA